GGGGAAUAUUGCACAAUGGGGGAAACCCUGAUGCAGCGACGCCGCGUGGAGGAAGAAGGUCUUCGGAUUGUAAACUCCUGUUGUUGAGGAAGAUAAUGACGGUACUCAACAAGGAAGUGACGGCUAACUACGUGCCAGCAGCCGCGGUAAAACGUAGGGUGCAAGCGUUGUCCGGAAUUACUGGGUGUAAAGGGAGCGCAGGCGGACCGGCAAGUUGGAAGUGAAAACUAUGGGCUCAACCCAUAAAUUGCUUUCAAAACUGCUGGCCUUGAGUAGUGCAGAGGUAGGUGGAAUUCCCGGUGUAGCGGUGGAAUGCGUAGAUAUCGGGAGGAACACCAGUGGCGAAGGCGACCUACUGGGCACCAACUGACGCUGAGGCUCGAAAGCAUGGGUAGCAAACAGGAUUAGAUACCCUGGUAGUCCAUGCCGUAAACGAUGAUUACUAGGUGUUGGAGGAUUGACCCCUUCAGUGCCGCAGUUAACACAAUAAGUAAUCCACCUGGGGAGUACGACCGCAAGGUUGAAACUCAAAGGAAUUGACGGGGGCCCGCACAAGCAGUGGAGUAUGUGGUUUAAUUCGAAGCAACGCGAAGAACCUUACCAGGUCUUGACAUCCGAUGCAUAGUGCAGAGAUGCAUGAAGUACUUCGGGACAUCGAGACAGGUGGUGCAUGGUUGUCGUCAGCUCGUGUCGUGAGAUGUUGGGUUAAGUCCCGCAACGAGCGCAACCCUUAUUGCCAGUUACUACGCAAGAGGACUCUGGCGAGACUGCCGUUGACAAAACGGAGGAAGGUGGGGAUGACGUCAAAUCAUCAUGCCCUUUAUGACCUGGGCUACACACGUACUACAAUGGCGUUUAACAAAGAGAAGCAAGACCGCGAGGUGGAGCAAAACUCAAAAACAACGUCUCAGUUCAGAUUGCAGGCUGCAACUCGCCUGCAUGAAGUCGGAAUUGCUAGUAAUCGCGGAUCAGCAUGCCGCGGUGAAUACGUUCCCG
rnacentral:rRNA from 1 species